CGUUGUUCGGAAUUAUUGGGCGUAAAGGGUGCGUAGGCGGUCUGCCAAGUCUGAUGUGAAAUCUAUGGGCUCAACCCAUAGUCUGCAUCGGAAACUGUCGGGCUUGAGUAUGGGAGAGGUGAGUGGAAUUUCCGGUGUAGCGGUGAAAUGCGUAGAUAUCGGAAGGAACACCUGUGGCGAAAGCGGCUCACUGGACCAUUACUGACGCUGAGGCACGAAAGCUAGGGGAGCAAACAGG
rnacentral:rRNA from 1 species